GACGAACGCUGGCGGCGUGCCUAAUACAUGCAAGUUGAGCGCUGAAGGUUGGUACUUGUACCGACUGGAUGAGCAGCGAACGGGUGAGUAACGCGUGGGGAAUCUGCCUUUGAGCGGGGGACAACAUUUGGAAAUGAAUGCUAAUACCGCAUAAAAACUUUAAACACAAGUUUUAAGUUUGAAAGAUGCAAUUGCAUCACUCAAAGAUGAUCCCGCGUUGUAUUAGCUAGUUGGUGAGGUAAAGGCUCACCAAGGCGAUGAUACAUAGCCGACCUGAGAGGGUGAUCGGCCACAUUGGGACUGAGACACGGCCCAAACUCCUACGGGAGGCAGCAGUAGGAAUCUUCGGCAAUGGACGAAAGUCUGACCGAGCAAUGCCGCGUGAGUGAAGAAGGUUUUCGGAUCGUAAAACUCUGUUGGUAGAGAAGAACGUUGGUGAGAGUGGAAAGCUCAUCAAGUGACGGUAACUACCCAGAAAGGGACGGCUAACUACGUG
rnacentral:rRNA from 1 species